UUAAACUUUAUUUUUACACAGAACUAAAUAUUUUAAGCAAUGUUUGCCAGCAAUAAGGAAGCAAGUAAAUCUGCAGAUUCAAAUAACUUCAAGGAAUCGCUGAAAAGUUGGAUAUCCGAUGCAACAAAACGAAAACUGUUGAUCAACGUCGCCUUAUUUGGAGUUGGUGUUUAUAUUAGCUCUGCCUUCGCGGAUCUAACUUUCGAAGCACCUCUAGCACCACCACCUGGACAAUAAAUAUGUUUCUUUUAUCAAUGAACACUAUCUGCACAUGUGCAUCAUGGGCAGUUACCAGAACAAUGCUUAUUCUUUUGUCUAAAUAUCCCAAACCACAUGUGGUACAUGACUAUUUCAUUUGGAUUAACGUAGUAAGCAUCUCUGCCAACUUUUGGAAUAUGGUAUGUGAUGUUGUGAAACAACCAAGCUGGAAAAAAAUUCCAACUUCCUACAUAACAAGUUUAAACUGUUGUGGUGGAACACCUGGCACUGGAUUGUGUUAUUUCUUAUUCCAACAAAAACAGGAGAAAUCAACAUUUUUAAUAAUUUGUGCCGUGCAAUGUGCCAUUUUAAUGCCACUGAUAGAAAAUUUGUACCCACGUUACCCAAGUGAACUACAAGUUACCCACACGUUGGAUGAGAUCAUAUAUACCCACAACAUGUUCUGGAAGCAACUAUUCAAUCGUUUCAAUUACAACACUUCAAGAAUAUUAAGCAGGAGUAAUUAUUUACCACAAAUGUUUGAUGGCAUUAAAACAAAUUUUAUGCAAUAAAAGCAUUUCAUUGGCAUCGUGUGUGUUUAUCCUUUGUAGACAAAGCAUAUUGAAUCUCUCAGAAGCAAUAUUCCUUCCUUUGCUUGUCUUUCAUUUACUGGUCCAUCUUUUAUGUUGAGAUGCAGAAGCCACAUCCUUGUUUCUACAAGCUUGUGGUUAAUUAAUUGAGUUUUCUUCAUAUCAUAAACCUCCUAGCUGCCACACAUUUCUUUGUGGGAAGACACAAUGUCUCAGGUUUUCCACAAUUUCUGUUGUGUUGAAAUUUAACUAUCAACCUCUAGCAUUUUCCACCAGCCAAGUCUGUAACGGACUGGAAAAUGAGACACCUUUAGGACAUAAUAUCCUGAUUGUGUUUUAAACAAUUAACAACAGUGUAUGGAAGUCGUGGGGACACAGUUUUAUAACUCUUUGAAUUGAAUUUACUACUAAAUAAAACAAGAAAAUAGAAUGAAAAGAUGUCCUUCCCCAACAAUAUCUUCCUCAACCGUACUAUAUAUUUAGUAUUGGUUGGUAAUAUCGGACACUUUAGCACAUAAUAUUAAAAUAUCCCGAUCGUGUUUUAAACAAUUAACAACGGUCUAUGCUUGGAGCCGUGAGAAUAUACUUUUAUAAUUGUUUGAAUGUUCUUUGUUUACUACCAA